rnacentral:rRNA from 1 species
GAUGAACGCUGGCGGCGUGUCUAAUACAUGCAAGUCGAGCGAACGGACGAGAAGCUUGCUUCUCUGAUGUUAGCGGCGGACGGGUGAGUAACACGUGGAUAACCUACCUAUAAGACUGGGAUAACUUCGGGAAACCGGAGCUAAUACCGGAUAAUAUUUUGAACCGCAUGGUUCAAAAGUGAAAGACGGUCUUGCUGUCACUUAUAGAUGGAUCCGCGCUGCAUUAGCUAGUUGGUAAGGUAACGGCUUACCAAGGCAACGAUGCAUAGCCGACCUGAGAGGGUGAUCGGCCACACUGGAACUGAGACACGGUCCAGACUCCUACGGGAGGCAGCAGUAGGGAAUCUUCCGCAAUGGGCGAAAGCCUGACGGAGCAACGCCGCGUGAGUGGUGAAGGUCUUCGGAUCGUAAAACUCUGUUAUUAGGGAAGAACAUAUGUGUAAGUAACUGUGCACAUCUUGACGGUACCUAAUCAGAAAGCCACGGCUAACUACGUG